rnacentral:lncRNA from 1 species
AGAAAAACGAGGCUGACAGUGGCUUUAUACACAAAGAACAGAGCUCCUUCGUGUAUACCCACAACACCUGGGCAGCUGAAGGAGUUCAAGUCUAUCUAGUCUCAGUGGGCAUAGAGUUGAGGGAGUUGACUGCUCAUCUUUCACAAUAUAUCCCUGUCUCAUAGGGCAAGGGUUUGAAGCCUUUUCUUCAUUUAUCAGGAGAAGCAUACAGUAAAAGUUGUUGUUAUUGUUAUUAUCAUCAUCAUUAUUAUUAUUGCGGAAACUUCAUUCAUUAAGGCUCAGAUUGGGCUUGGUCCUAAGAACCAAUAGUGAUGGCAUGAGUUUUCUCAGUUUGAGAAGUUUCCAGAUUCUGUUCAGGCUCACUGGAGGGAGAGGAAUGUGAUUCCACUCAUGGCCUUCUGCUUGGCCCUCACUCCUUGUCCCCCAGCCUUGUUCUUUGCUGACGUACACAAUCAAUUUUGGGCACUAUUUUUCAUUAGUCUGUGUAAACAUUGGCUGAUCAAUACAUCUGGGGCAUUAUAUGAAUCUGUCUUUGUUCUUAAUCUGCAUAAAUUCAGAUUAGCUUCCUUGUAAACAGCACUGUACUCUCAGAUAACAGUUGUAUAAACGAUAAAAAAAAUGUUUCGUUCUUUGUUAACUAAACUGGCUGCAGAGGUGAGAAAUAAUGGACCAGCAGAAAUCUUUCAAGUUUCCUGAUUUUUCUGAUCCACCUUUCCUAAGCAAAGGUCUAUGUUCUCAUGUUCAAAGUCAGGUGGGGAAAGGGGAGGCUCAUUUCCAGCACUGUAAGGAACUGUUGAGUAAACACUACAAACAAUUUGUUUCGGUUUCUUAACCAGAUCUUUACAUGGUCACAUCUAACUUCAAGAGAGGCUGAAAAAUGCAGUCCUGUGUCUGGGCUCCUGGACCAGACUUGAGAUUCUGAUCCUAGGCAAGAAGAGAGUGACUAUGGAACCCAAAUUAACUGUCCCUUGCAAACAACUGUAAGAGAGGGAGUGGCUAUUUAUAAAUGUGCUGGUUUCUGACAUAUGGGCUAUAACCUUUGUCCCAUUUAGCACCUGAAGUGCUUUCUCCUCUUCCUGGGGGUUUAUGGGAGCCAGAUGGUAGCCAGUUAUCAGCCAUAGAGAUUUAUAAUUUCUCUCCUGCUUUUUUUUUUUUUUUUUUUAAUUCUAUGGACAAAGAACGGGCUUCAGUUUAUCUUAUUUUGCUUGUAGACCUGAUUAUGCAGUGAAGUUGCUUCCCAGUAGGACUUUCCUGGCUUCCCUUGUUUAUUUUUGAAGAGUAGGUUGUGUUUCAAGUGUAAAGCCCACCUUAGGACAAAGACCUUGAUCAUGCCACAUAGUAAAUGCCACAUAUUUCUGUUUGGAGAUACAAUUUUUAAAAUACCACGGCUAUGAAAGUAGUUAGAAAAAAUGAAAAAGUUCUUCUCAAGCCUUUUGUUGUAAAAACAAUGCUACUUUAGGGAUUAUCAUGACAGGACCCUCUUUUGCGUUACUUCGGAUAAUGCUGUUCUUUUGUACUCCCCCCAACCACCAGAAUGGCAAAAGAUGGUCAGAGAUGCUCAAGAACUCAUCAGUGAGAAGUCAUACAGGCUUAAGGAUUAGAUAAUUUUAGUUGGAACUUCUUGAGGUCUCCUAACAGGAGG